rnacentral:lncRNA from 1 species
UGUAGGGGGUGCAGUUUCACUCUCGGAGCUGCGUGCAUGAGAGGCCAGAGGGCGCCCGAAAAAUACCGGAAGUGCAAAAUGACGCAUGUAUGUAGGCUACUUAAAGAAAAUCCUGUUUUUAGUUUGUGUAAUUGUUGAUUUGAUCACAAACGCUUGUGUAAAAACUUGCCACGCUUGCCAUCGGAGCUGCUUAUCCCUGAAUUAGACACCUACUGUGCCAGGAAGCUACCACAGAAGCGAUUUGAGUACUUUGCCAGGUGCUUAUAUGCCUGUCUGUGGAUGUAUUUUUCGUCAACGUGAUGUAACCAACUGUUACAUAUGUUCAACUCUGUAUAACCCAUGGCUGCAUAAUCCAGGCAGAUCGCAGAGUCUGUCCUCGGCUGUCUCUCCAUUGGCACUGUCACUCCCUCAUUCAGCCGUUCGUCAUCCUGUUGCUGCUCCUCAUCAAUCCCACACUGCCACAAUGGUCUGUGACAGCAGCACUGACAGGCCCAUGACAGGCCUGCCACCCGGACGGCCUGUCCCAGCCAGCCAGCCUACAAUACGGGAGAAGACAAACAGACCUGAACAUGCACAACUCAUUCCUCCUCCCCCCCCCAAACCUUGUUGGCGCCUGGCUGUGUGGCCCAACUCUCUCAAACUCUCCCAACAACACUGUACAAACGCUACAGCGGGGCUUUAGCUACGGCAAUGUCGCUCUGUUGGCCGGUCCACAACUGUGGUCCGGACUGAAACAUCUGUUGGAUGGACUGCCAUGACAUCAGUGUUCAGAUAUUCAUGGUCCCCAGAGGAUGACACCUCCUAACUCCCCUGACUUUCCCUCUAGCGCCACCAUGAGGUUGAUAUUUAUUUGUGGUUUUGAAUAAAAAAGCUCAACUUUUGGAUGGAUUGCCAUGAAGUUUGGUACAGCCGUUAUUUUUUACAGCCCAACACUUUGGUUUAUUACCAAACACUUGCAAUCAGCAAGACAUUCCCAUGAGCCUCAGCUGUAGGCGACUUGUUUAUUGUUAAAUAGCUAAUGUUAGCAUGUUGACAUGCUAAACUAAGAUACCAAAUAUGGCAACAUUGCCUCCUAAACAUCAACAUUUUAGCAUGGUUAUUGUGAGCAUGUUUGCAUUUAGCUCAAACUACCACUGUGUCUGUAGGCGCUUCGCAUAGUUACCCACGAAACUGAAGGUUUUUUGACCAGGUUUCUUUUUGGAUUUUACAUUUCAUAAUAUUGCAUUGUG